UGUGCCCUUUAGUUCUUAACUUAGGCCUUAAAGCCAUGUACUUAUUCCGACAUUUGGCCCUUGACUGUCUUGUCAACAUCCUUGUUUCGACAUACUCGAGUGUCUUAACCUUACCUAGGGUCUUACAAAUUCUCACCCUUAUAAGAACUUUAGUUCUCGAAAAUUCGUUGUUCUUAUCUUGUCUUGGGGUACUUAUCCUUAGUUGUGUCCUAACAAGUUUCUUGAGGGUCCAUUUAUAGGUUUGCCCUUCUUCGACAUGUCUUUAUAAUCAGCCCUUGUGCUCUUUAGUUCUUAACUUAUGACUUAAGGCCAUGUACUUAUUCCGACAUUUGUCCCUCGACUUGUUAACAUCCUUGUUUCGACGAACUCGAGUGUCUCAACCUUACUUGUGGUCUUACAAAUUCUCACCCUCUUAAGAACUUUCGUCCUUGAAUGUUCAUUGUUCUUAUCUUGUAUUGGAGUACUUAUCCUUAGUUGUGUCCUUCCAAGUUUCUUAAGGGUCCAUUUAUAGGUUUUCCCAUCUCCGACAUGUCUUUAUAAUCAGCAUUGUGCCCUUUAGUUCUUAACUUAUGCCAUAAAGUCAUGUUCUUGUUCCGACAUUUGGCCCUUGACUAUUUUGUCAACAUCCUUGUUUCAACAUACUCGAGUGGCUUAACCUUACUUGGGAUCUAACAAAUUCUCACCCUUUCAAGCACUUUCGUCCUUGAUAGUUCAUUAUUCUUACCUUGUCUUGGGGUACUUAUCCUUAGUUAUGUCCUUUCAAGUUUCUUAAGGGUCCAUUUAUAGGUUUUUCCUUCUCCAACAUGUCUUUAUAAUCAGCCUUUGUGCCCUUUAGUUCUUAACGUAUGCUUUAAGGUCAUGUACUUGUUCCGACAUUUGCCCCUUGACUAUCUUGUCAACAUCCUUUUUUCGACAUAAUCGAGUGUCUUAACCUUACGUGGCGCCUUACAAAUUCUCAACCUCUUAAGAACUCGUCCUCGAUUAUUGAUCUUACCUUGUCUUAGGAGUACUUAUCCAUAGUUUUGUCCUUCCAAGUUUCUUAAGAGUCCAUUUAAAGGUUUGCCCUUCUCCGACAUGUCUUUAUUAUAAUUAGCCCUUGUGUCAUUUAGUUCUUAACUUAUGCCUUAAGGCCAUGUACUUAUUCCGACAUUUGUCCCUUGACUUGUUAACAUCCUUGUUUCGACAUACUCGAGUGUCUCAACCUUACUUUGGGUCUUACAAAUUCUCACCCUCUUAAGAACUUUCGUCCUUGAAAGUUUGUCUUCAGGCACUUAUUCUUAGUUUUGUCCGU